GACGAACGCUGGCGGCAGGCCUAACACAUGCAAGUCGAACGCUGUAGCAAUACAGAGUGGCAGACGGGUGAGUAACGCGUGGGAACAUGCCCUUCGGUUCGGAAUAACUCAGGGAAACUUGAGCUAAUACCGGAUACGCCCUUAGGGGGAAAGAUUUAUUGCCGAAGGAUUGGCCCGCGUCCGAUUAGCUAGUUGGUGAGGUAAUGGCUCACCAAGGCGACGAUCGGUAGCUGGUCUGAGAGGAUGAUCAGCCACACUGGGACUGAGACACGGCCCAGACUCCUACGGGAGGCAGCAGUGGGGAAUAUUGGACAAUGGGCGCAAGCCUGAUCCAGCCAUGCCGCGUGAGUGAUGAAGGCCCUAGGGUUGUAAAGCUCUUUCGCCAGGGACGAUAAUGACGGUACCUGGAUAAGAAGCCCCGGCUAACUUCGUGCCAGCCGCCGCCGUAAGAC
rnacentral:rRNA from 1 species